rnacentral:rRNA from 1 species
UCGAGUGGGAUAGCCAUGCGAGUCACAUAGCAAUAUGUGGCAUACGGCUCAGUAACACGUAGUCAACAUGCCCAGGGGACGUGGAUAACCUCGGGAAACUGAGGAUAAACCGCGAUAGGUCAUCACUUCUGGAAUGGGUAAUGACUUAAAUCUAUAUGGCCCCUGGAUUGGACUGCGGCCGAUCAGGCUGUUGGUGAGGUAAUGGCCCACCAAACCUGUAACCGGUACGGGCUCUGAGAGGAGGAGCCCGGAGAUGGGCACUGAGACAAGGGCCCAGGCCCUAUGGGGCGCAGCAGGCGCGAAACCUCUGCAAUAGGCGAAAGCUUGACAGGGUUACUCUGAGUGAUUUCCGUUAAGGAGAUCUUUUGGCACCUCUAAAAAUGGUGCAGAAUAAGGGGUGGGCAAGUCUGGUGUCAGCCGCCGCGGUAAUACCAGCACCCCGAGUGGUCGGGACGUUUAUUGGGCCUAAAGCAUCCGUAGCCGGUUCUACAAGUCUUCCGUUAAAUCCACCUGCUUAACAGAUGGGCUGCGGAAGAUACUAUAGAGCUAGGAGGCGGGAGAGGCAAGCGGUACUCGAUGGGUAGGGGUAAAAUCCGUUGAUCCAUUGAAGACCACCAGUGGCGAAGGCGGCUUGCCAGAACGCGCUCGACGGUGAGGGAUGAAAGCUGGGGGAGCAAACCGGAUUAGAUACCCGGGUAGUCCCAGCUGUAAACGAUGCAGACUCGGUGAUGAGUUGGCUUAUUGCUAACUCAGUGCCGCAGGGAAGCCGUUAAGUUUGCCGCCUGGGGAGUACGGUCGCAAGACUGAAACUUAAAGGAAUUGGCGGGGGGGCACCACAAGGGGUGAAGCCUGCGGUU